rnacentral:rRNA from 1 species
AUUGAACGCUGGCGGCAGGCCUAACACAUGCAAGUCGAGCGGGGGUAGCAAUACCCUAGCGGCGAACGGGUGAGGAAUGCUUGGGAAUCUGCCUGGUAGUGGGGGAUAACGUUCCGAAAGGAACGCUAAUACCGCAUACGUCCUACGGGAGAAAGGGGGGGAUCUUCGGACCUCUCGCUAUCAGAUAAGCCCAAGCGGGAUUAGCUAGUUGGUGGGGUAAAGGCCCACCAAGGCGACGAUCCCUAGCUGGUCUGAGAGGAUGAUCAGCCACACUGGAACGGAGACACGGGCCAGACUCCUACGGGAGGCAGCAGUGGGGAAUAUUGGACAAUGGGCGAAAGCCUGAUCCAGCCAUGCCGCGUGUGUGAAGAAGGCCUUCGGGUUGUAAAGCACUUUAAGCGAGGAGGAAGGUUCGUUACUUAAUACGUAACGGAAUUGACGUUACUCGCAGAAUAAGCACCGGCUAACUCUGUGCCAGCCGCCGCGGUAA